CACGUAGGGCGCGAGCGUUGUCCGGAAUCAUUGGGCGUAAAGAGCGUGUAGGCGGUCCGGUAAGUCCGCUGUGAAAGUCGGGGCUCAACCCUCGAAUGCCGGUGGAUACUGUCGGGCUAGAGUGCGGAAGAGGCGAGUGGAAUUCCUGGUGUAGCGGUGAAAUGCGCAGAUAUCAGGAGGAACACCUAUUGCGAAGGCAGCUCGCUGGGACGUAACUGACGCUGAGACGCGAAAGCGUGGGGAGCAAACAGG
rnacentral:rRNA from 1 species